UUCUUUAUAGUAAAAGACCCCCAGAGUGGGGAGACCCUCACUCAAGUCUCAGGAUGACUCGACCCCCCAAGAACUCACAAGAGACC
rnacentral:pre_miRNA from 14 species